UCCAAGCUCGCCUCCUUUGCCUCGACGA
rnacentral:sRNA from 1 species